rnacentral:rRNA from 1 species
AUUGAACGCUGGCGGCAUGCCUUACACAUGCAAGUCGAACGGUAACAGGUCUUCGGAUGCUGACGAGUGGCGAACGGGUGAGUAAUACAUCGGAACGUGCCUAGUAGUGGGGGAUAGCUACUCGAAAGAGUGGCUAACACCGCAUGAGAUCUACGGAUGAAAGCAGGGGAUCGCAAGACCUUGUGCUACUAGAGCGGCCGAUGGCAGAUUAGGUAGUUGGUGGGAUAAAAGCUUACCAAGCCGACGAUCUGUAGCUGAUCUGAGAGGACGAUCAGCCACACUGGGACUGAGACACGGCCCAGACUCCUACGGGAGGCAGCAGUGGGGAAUUUUGGACAAUGGGCGCAAGCCUGAUUCAGCAAUGCCGCGUGCAGGAUGAAGGCCUUCGGGUUGUAAACUGCUUUUGCACGGAACGAAAAGCCCUGGGUUAAUACCCUGGGGUCAUGACGGUACCGUAAGAAUAAGCACCGGCUAACUACGUGCCAGCAGCCGCGGUAACAC